rnacentral:rRNA from 1 species
CACUCCUACGGGAGGCAGCAGUGGGGAAUUUUGGACAAUGGGCGAAAGCCUGAUCCAGCAAUGCCGCGUGAGUGAAGAAGGCCUUCGGGUUGUAAAGCUCUUUUGUCAGGGAAGAAACGGUGAGAGCUAAUAUCUUUUGCUAAUGACGGUACCUGAAGAAUAAGCACCGGCUAACUACGUGCCAGCAGCCGCGGUAAUACGUAGGGUGCAAGCGUUAAUCGGAAUUACUGGGCGUAAAGCGUGCGCAGGCGGUUUUGUAAGUCUGAUGUGAAAUCCCCGGGCUCAACCUGGGAAUUGCAUUGGAGACUGCAAGGCUAGAAUCUGGCAGAGGGGGGUAGAAUUCCACGUGUAGCAGUGAAAUGCGUAGAUAUGUGGAGGAACACCGAUGGCGAAGGCAGCCCCCUGGGUCAAGAUUGACGCUCAUGCACGAAAGCGUGGGGAGCAAACAGGAUUAGAAACCCCUGUAGUCCC